UGCAGACACAUCUGAAUACAUGAAUGUAUACACACACAUACACACACACACACACACACACACACACACACACACACACACACACACACAGAGGGAAAAAGCAACAAAACCAAACAUCCUUUUCGCUUCAGGACAGAGUGAUGAGGUCGGACGUGGGAAGCAAUUGCUUCCUAAAACAAGAUGACAGGGAGGAAAAUCCACAAAUAAAACUGAGAAGCCUUAAGUAGAAGCUGGAAGGUUUACGAUGAUACAGUCUCAUACACAGCAUCUGUAUUUAAUAUGAAGAUUAAGUUGCAACAUGAUUAGUCCCAUGACUGCAAGGCUAUGUUGCCCAUCAAGCUCUACACUUACAUUUCCAUUUUGGUUUUUGCAAAUUAAAAACAAAGACAUGUGAAAAGUGUUAACAUUGUACUCGAAAAGACGUAACAUGCAUCACACUCAAGAUCCACACAAUUAAAAUCCUAUUUAACAUUCUCACAGUCUGUUAUAUACCGAUCAAACACAACAUUAUGGCCGCUGACAGAUGACAUGACUAACACUGAUUAUCUCUUCAUCAUGGCACCUGUUAGUGGGUGGGAUAUAUUAGGGAGCAAGUAAACACUUUGUCCUCAAAGUUGAUGUCUUAGAAGGAGGAAAAACAGACAAAUGUAAGGAUUUGAGCGGCAGUCACUGACUGCAGUGUUUAGUAUCUAUCACAAGUGGUCCAACGAAGGAACAUUGGUAAACCAAUAACAGGGUGAUGGAUGGCCAUCACCCUGUUAUUGGUGAUCAAACACAUGCUGACUUACUUAUGAGAAAUAAAACUGAAUCUCAGCUGGGCCUCAGAAAGGUUGCAUUAUGAUGAGAAGGGGUCUCUGACCAUCGCCGUGUGAUGAGACUGAGGCAAAACUGUUUUGCAAUCUUACAGAAGGCAUAAUGUCAACAGGACUUUGGAUCCUUAAUCAACAACAAACCAACUCGGUAUUCUUGUGCAAGAACAAGUAACUGCCUAAAAAAUCCCAACAUUUUAACCGUGUGUUUUCAUUUAUUAACCACGACUGGGAGAACUGCCCAUCCUAUUUUAAGAUCACUGAUUCCACGCAGGAUGCAAAGACAAAACCAAUGAGCGAUGAUAAACAGCACAAGAUCGAAAUGUCCUUGAGUGCUGAGUAAUUACAAGAACAACUCGUUUUUGAGAGCGUGUUUACAAAAUGUGAAGCCAGAUAUCAUGGCUACACAGCUGGAGGAGCAAUGAGACAGAAAUGCACACACACUUGGAAUGACACAUCCGAUUCCCAUGUCUGUUAUGGGCCUACAGGUCAAUGAACUGUAACCAAAGGAAGCAGGGGCUGAACAGCAGCCCUAAUGAAGGGGGCUGAGAGCCACAGUCAAGCUUACGUAACGUACGACAACACGUGUGCACGCACACACAUACGCAAAAGGCAAUGUUCCACCGAACGAGCCCUUUUUGGACUGUUUAUUUGGACACAGGAAAAGGGCAAGGGCUUGUGUAUAUCUCAUUGUGCACAAAGGGGAAGUUACACAGGCCCUGAACCUGGGGGGGCGUGUCACCGCAGUGACUAUGUGUUGCGGAGUUUGUGUUAGGCGUUCUUUCUUUAGAAUAAAGUGCAGUCUCUUAGUGUUGCCUGUGUGUGACACAGACAUCAGCAGGAAGGCAGAGGAGCAGACAAUGAGCUAAAUUGAGGGACAACGUUGUUUGAUAAGCUGCAGGAAACUGGUUCAGGGGACUGAAUCUCAGAUCUUUUCCUGUGUACUUUUUUAAAGCUGAGUCUGAACCCACUGCAUCAAAAGGCAGAGUUUGGGCUGGGCCAGGAUCUAAUUUCUCUUAAUUCCCUCUGGCUGGAGAAGGUCAGUUUCAUUUUAAAAGAGUCUUUUUUCCCUUUUUUUUUCUCCCCCAACUACAGCAAGUGAAGCAGCACAUUUUCGACUGUGUGGUCCCUUCUGCUAUUCCUAAAUAACACAUAAUAGUCUUCUUACAGCCCCAGUCAAAUAUAUCUUUGGCUUUCACUUGGAAGAGUAAUUAUUCUUUUCAUAUUUUAUCAAAUUCUCUUUUUGGGACAUAUUCUAACACUUUUACGAUAGGCACUGCCUGCACAAAUUUGUAUACCCCUUCCUUUGGGUGUGGGUUUGAACUCAGGGUCAAUGUUCAGGGCUCAAAAUUUAGGCUACUAUGAAAGUGCCAAAAAAAACAAAACAGUGCCAUAUCUGAAAGCUUAAAAAUUUAGUUCAUACGUCAGUCAUUUUUUAGAUACAGGGCUGAACAAGAAGAUCUGAGAUCUGUCCUUUCACAGAACUCUUCCAUAAUUUUCUCCCUGUUGGUGGAUACUUUAACUAAAGCUGUCUGGUAAAAUUCAAGUAUUUGUUUUUAGAUGAAUGGAUGUAAACAGUGAAAAGAAUCUGUUAAUAUAUAUAAUAUAUUCCAUCCAUUCCUCCUCUUCUGCUUCUCAUGGGGGAGCUAGAGCCUAUCUCAGCAGCCAGGUACACCUUGGACAGUCUAUUGCAGGGCUAACACAACCAUUCACACCUACGGGCAAUUUAGAAACACCAGUUAACCUAACCCCACUAACUGCAUGUCUUUGGACUGUGGGAGGAAGCCAGAGUACCUGAGAGAACCCCUACAGACACGGAGAGAAGAUGCAAACUCCACACAGACAGGUUCUGGUUGAAUGGUGGAUUCGAACCCAGGACCUGUGAGGCAACAGUGCCAAUCACUGCACCACCGUGCCCUAUUCCAAAUUACUUUAUUUUUUUGAAUAAGUGACUGUCUUUAUGUCUGGCUAUUUCUUGUGUGAUGAGUCAUUUUAAGCAUGAGACCUGACCAAACUGUAGUGACCACACGUUUGCUUAGUUUUUCAUACAUUUCAGACACUGUCCAUAAUUCAGUCUCAUAAUGCAGAAGUUGACAGUCGGUAGAAGGGAACAACAUGGUAUUACUGUUGCCACAGAAGGUAUCAGUAAGCUGUUUUAGGUCUGAUGCUGGAAAUUUGGGGGGAAUUCUGCAGAAAUUUUGAUCUGUAACGUGAAAGACCAUGAAAGGAUCUUUAAAACGGUCAAGCCAGGAUUAUACAGUACCAAAUGUUGUGCAACUAUUCAUGUUAUGUAAUAAAAUGCAGUACAGUAGUUCCAUCUCUUCUUAUUAAAUCAUCGUUCAAAUAUCAAAUUAUACUUUAAUCGCUUGAAGGUGACGUCCAACGAGUAAUGCUACAGGUUCAAUGACAGAUAUAAAAUUGUUGCUGUUACUGGAACAAAACAAUGAAUAAAAAAUAAAAUAAAUCUAGUAGUUCAACAAGAAAAUCAAAGCCUUAUGGGAUCAUCCAAUGCUUCCAGUUUGCAGUCCUGGAAGUGCUCCACACUGUUUCAGAUUUCCAUUUGUUAUGACUACAGUUGCUCGAUUUUCACCCCGCACCCUUUAGUGCCUUUGUUUCUAAAAGCAGGCUGUACCUCGUUUUGACGCUUGCGCACUGGUUAUCGACUUUUCAGAACCAUUUUCUCAGUUUUUUGCCCUCUGCAUCCCUCUCUCCCCCAGUGCCCAGUGAAGGGGCCUGCUGAGGGUGGCCGCUAAGCCAGAACAAACACACCACACCGCACCAGAUUCCAUCUCCCCAGGCCAACACUUACGCACAAACUUCCUGCUAACAGACCUCCACCCAUCACUUCGUUUCUCUUUUCAUCCUUCUUGCAUCGCUUUUCUCCUACCUUGUUACCUUCUUAUCCGCUCAUUUAUCUCCUCUUCCCUCUUUUCCUUUCUCAGCUUGCUCCCUUUAUUUUCCGCGCUUAUUCACUUCCCUCUUUACGGAUUUGUUUUUCUUCUCCUUCCCUUUUCUUUUGGUCCAUAUCUGUUUUCCUCUCCAGCUUUUUAACUUCUUCCUUUCUCUUUUCUCUGUUUUUCUCAGUUCUACUCGAUCAACUUUCUCCUAAUCGCAAACUUUCUUCCCUUGGAUAUCCUCUCACAAUCCUGGUGUUUCCUUCCUUUUCUUCUCUAAUCUGUUUCUGACAAAACCGUUCCUGUUUGUCUUCCUCUCACAUCUCCAACUUCCGUGCCUCCUACUACUUUUAUUAGAAUCUUUUUAUUCCCUGCACCCUGCUUCUGAACUUCCGACUUUCUUACAUCUUUACAGUCCUUGUCUUUGUGUGUUUGAAGCAAAGGAAAAUCAUAACGAGUGACAAAUGUUAUUAAAAUGACAAAAAUCAAUUUGCCUACUCUGUCUUACUAAUAUACUUGCUCUCUGUACUCUAUGUACACACUCUCAGUGAAACGCUGCCUGUUGUUUUGCCUCUGCUGCCUCUAUUCAGAUGUGUCCAGCUGACGAUGUCCAGAAACCUCUGACCUCCAUAACCCUCUCCACCCUCUUCUUGCCUGUAGUGGCCCUGGCUCCUAAACCUCCAACUUGCCCUUUGAUCCAUCAAAGGCAGAAAAACACAGCAAAUGAAUAAAGCACAGGUCUCUCCUCUCAAUGCAUUGCUUAAGAGCUGUGGGCUGUGACAGGAGUAACUACAGAGUGAGCUAUUAGCCUUGGUAUGUCAUUACCGUAAGAAACAGCGUCAGACAUAGUCUGUGUGUGAAUAGCUACAAGCUAAAGUACUUCUUUUGUUGCUUAUAAUAUUUUCUUGCAUAUAAAUAACCAGCAGUGCCUUUAAGAAGCACACACAAGCAACAGGGCCAUACAACAGGACUCACUGCUCAUUCUGAUACAUCAAAUGAAGUAACGUAAGUUUUACUUUCAAUAUUUUUCAUCUGGUUGACAUUUAGCUGAGUACUUGGUGACUGUUUUUCUCUAACCAAUCCAAACCCAGAACAUCAGGGUUUUAGGAUCCUCCCAGCAAAUGAUGCUUUCAGUCUGAGGCAUUGAUAAUCGUUGAUUUCUGAGGCUGCUAGCUGGGAACAUUUGGGCUUUCUUUCCUUGGGGUAUCCUCAUGAGUGUUUCUGUGACUACACGUAGCCCUUCCAGCUCACAGCAGAUCUGUCAGGAGGAGCACUGUCGCUGCCAGCUGCAGGGGGAGUUGGAGUAUAUCCCACCACAAAAUAAGAUGGGGAGGCAGCUCAGUUACAUUAAUGACCACUACAACAACACCCUUGCCAUCAAGCCUAAUGGCAACAAGGCAGAUCUUAAAAUACCAUGGUGUUCCCUCAGGUAAUGUUGAACGGGAAAACAUCAAAUCAAUUGAUUAAUGCGAGUAAGAUGAGUGUGCAGAUGAGGGAACUGUGGACAAAGUUCCCCAAGCACAUAAACCCACAGUGACACUAAACCAUGACUCAAGGGAAGCAGUGGAGACCUCAAAUGAUCACAGAUGUUAAGGUGUGGAAGCCAUACCAAUUACAUUCUUUGUCUGUAGGGUUUUUGCAACAGACACCCAACAACAGAUGUGAAGUGAUGCGGAAUGGUCAGUCUGUUGUCCUAAUGACAAAAUCAACAAAAACUACAUCUAUGAGCAAAGCAAACUGUACCAACCAAUCCAGACCCCGAUCAAGCCACGUCCAGCUACAUAUGAACGCUGCUCUCAUGCACCAUUUCCUUUGAUGGUAAGCCUUAGGCCUAACAGGCUCCUCAUUCCUUCAGCUCCCUUAGGAGAGCCAAUCAGAGGACACUGAUGAAAGCCGCAAAGAUUCAGCUGUCGAAGCCAAUGCUGGCUGUGACCUUGUGUGCUUUAGUGAUCACCAUCAUCACCUACAUCAGUGAGCGAGCCUGAGAAGAAUGCAGGGGUCUUAUAAAGUGAUGUAUUACACUCAUAUGAUCCCAGAGGGAAACCUUUUGUCAAGCUGUAAGAGGAGUGCUGAUGAAACAUUGAAGCACUUACAGAAACGAGGAAGCAGGACGGCUACAGCAGCAAGGAAAAGCAAGUUUGAACUGUCUGUGUUAAUUUCCUCAGUCUGACAUUUUGUAAUAAUAAUUUAUUUUGAUUUUUUUAAACAAAGGCUCCCUUUAAUGUACUUAAGGGGGUAAUUACACAAUCCUUCACUGAUACACAAAUACGGAUAUAUACAGUUUACCAAAUUAAAGCACAACAUUGCACACCAGUUGUUUUUACUAUAGCUCAACAAAAAGGUCAGUUUCUCAGGGCUUAUUCUGUUAUUGAGCACAAAUAGAAAUAAUUUAUGCUUUUUAAAGAAAACUAAUAUGUUUAAAGAUGCUAUGUUGAAAAUCCCGUGCUCUGUUAAAAGAGUGCUUGUCAAACCUUUGACAAAAACCUCCAAUUUCAUAGGGGGGCUAAUAACUUUGUCCUCAUCUGUAACUAACUUAAAACUAAUACAUAAGACUGGGUUUUGUUUUAAGACAGUUCUGGAAGUCAAAAACACAGAUGGUGACUCUUUAGCACAAACUUGCCUGACUUAUGCUGUGGCACUUUUGAGAGUUACCUGGCCUAGCUGUAUAACUGCCCUUUAAAUGCAACCCACAUGUCCAAUGCCUCUUAAUCAUGACAAGAUGGUCUUCAUGAGAAAACCAGAAACCCGACCUAACUCAAGAAGGCUUCAAGACCAUAGCUAAGCAAAAAAAACACCUAUAGGUGAAAGACUUACAUCCAGCAGACUUAGAAGUGCAAUAUUGUGCUUGUCUUUCUACGAGGCCAUCUAACAAAGCAUUUGUGUUCCCCCCCUCCUCACUCUUUGUCUCUUGUUCCCACACUUUAUUUUGACCCCAAAAGGAAAGAAGGAGGUCUCUGUCUAUCACGGUUACAUUUCGCUCCAAGCAGCUGAGAGGGCGGCUGAAGAUCUCAUAGGUCACAUGGGUCCCUGUGGUGGAGCUUUUAUGACCAAGUGGGAUGCAAAUCCCUGUUAUGGAUGUUGAGGUUCUGACUACACGGACUAAAGUUAAGCAGAUGGAAAACACAAACAGGAAUGCUGCUUGUACAGAGGGUUGCUAUGGAAAACGCUCAAGGUUAAAGCGCACACACACAUCAUUCUCAUCCACCCAUCUUUAGCGUCCACCCAACCCAAACAAGCGCAGAAAGCUUGAAGCUGGAUAAAAAUAAACAUGGGUAAAUAAACAACACAGGAAGGCCGGGGUCAUGAUGUGAUUGGGAGAGAUCAACAAUGGAAAAACCUCUUGUGAGCCAACCGAUGUGGGGUUGGAUCUUCAUUCCACAUCUACGCUCUGCGGCUGAGCGCCGUCUGUCAUUCAUCUUGUCGAUAAGCAGGCACUUGCACAAUUCCCAAAAGUACAGUGUCUCCUCCUCUUUCUAUAUUUGCAGCCUUCGCAUUGUUUACCAUAUGCACAAAAAUGCAUUUGCAUUCUUCAGAUGGGCAAUGUCAACCACCGUUUUAGGACCCAUCUCCUCCUGCGCUACACCACAAUUCACAAACUAGACGCCACUGUGGUCACAGUCGUCCUGCUCUUCCUGUGACUUUUGUUUUUUGUUUUUUUUAAGUCAUCUCAUUGAGGUCUGGGGAGGUGAACUGACUGGGUACAACAUCCAAAAGAGGCAAGACAGGAAAACCCAAUUAAACACAGGCACAAAUAUGGCAGACCCCGCGGGAAAGUAUUUUUUCAACUUGGUAUAAAGAUAGUUUUUGUCUCUAUGCAUGAUUUACACUUUUAUACCAAAUAUACAAAAGUCAAUUUUUUCUUUCCUAAUUGUUUUUAAGUGUCGAUAUUAUUCGGAUACAAUAAAAUAUACAAAUAUACAACAUUUUUCUUUUUACACAAACAGUAGUAGAAACAUGACAACCGCCUGCAGCCAUUAUACGACUAACCUUUUGUCAGCCAAGUGAGUUUGUCCUAUAGCAGCCGCCGUAGCUAGGAUUAUGCACUUGGAUUGGGAGGGGUAAGAAAACAGAACUCACUUGAUUCAAUCUGCAAUUUAAUGACAUCUAACAGUGAAAACUUUACUGUAACUUUCAAAUUAACAGGCGUGCAGAUAGAGGCAGUCCAUGCCAACAGUGUGCUCAGCCUCACCUGUGCUCAGGGCUGGACUGCGAUGGUUACUUUAACCAUGAGCAACUGCUAGUAGCUAAAGUGUAGUUUUUAAAUUGUCAUAUGAUAUAUAGGUUUUUAUUAAGCAAACAUGAAAGUGCCAGUCCAGCCCUGCCUGUGCUAAUUCAUGGACCACUAAACCCAUUUCUUUAUAAAUUAUAAUACAAGCACACGCACACAUUUUUUGAUUAUUAAAUAAUUAUAGAUAUUGUGUAUUAGACAGGCAUAUUUAACCAGAUUUCAGAUGUUAUAAUCAAAACAGAUGUGAGCUGAUGAUGGUGGUAGGAAUUAAAAAAAAAAUCUUUUUCAUCCUCCUAUUAACUGUCGUACGAAAAUGAUUGAAAUGGUUGAAAAAUGGCAACGUUGAGGCUUUAAACUGUGAAGUCAAGAAUUCACAGUCGUGGUCUAUCUUAUGUACAAUUAAUAAUUACUCUCUAUAAUAGUCUUGGGUCUUGCCCUCACUAUAAGAAGGCUCCUUGAAUGAUGUAUGAAAUACCAGAUACAAAUGAAGUGAAGUGAAUGGGACGCCAAUUUUUUACUGUCCCUCGUAGCAGAGAUAUGCAAAAGUUCUGAGAACAAACCCAUCAGCCAAUUAGAACAGCUUAUGUCCUAGCUAAGACACACACGCACACGUACGCAUACACACACACACAGAGUGGACUGGCUUAGUCACAACUUGGCUAAGUAAGCUGUCAUGCUUAUGGUUUUAACUCUCAUCAACAACGCUCACUCCUUCUCUCGCUUAGUCUGUGCUGGACACACACACACACACACACACACACACACACACACACACA